rnacentral:rRNA from 1 species
AGCGAACGCUGGCGGCAGGCCUAACGCAUGCAAGUCGAACGAACCUUUCGGGGUUAGUGGCGGACGGGUGAGUAACACGUGGGAACGUGCCUUUAGGUUCGGAAUAACUCAGGGAAACUUGUGCUAAUACCGAAUGUGCCCUUCGGGGGAAAGAUUUAUCGCCUUUAGAGCGGCCCGCGUCUGAUUAGCUAGUUGGUUGAGGUAAUGGCUCACCAAGGCGACGAUCAGUAGCUGGUCUGAGAGGAUGAUCAGCCACAUUGGGACUGAGACACGGCCCACACUCCUACGGGAGGCAGCAGUGGGGAAUCUUGCGCAAUGGGCGAAAGCCUGACGCAGCCAUGCCGCGUGAAUGAUGAAGGUCUUAGGAUUGUAAAAUUCUUUCACCGGGGACGAUAAUGACGGUACCCGGAGAAGAAGCCCCGGCUAACUUCGUG